AUUGAACGCUGGCGGCAGGCCUAACACAUGCAAGUCGAGCGGAUGAAGGGAGCUUGCUCCUGGCUUCAGCGGCGGACGGGUGAGUAAUGCCUAGGAAUCUGCCUGGUAGUGGGGGAUAACGUCCGGAAACGGGCGCUAAUACCGCAUACGUCCUGAGGGAGAAAGUGGGGGAUCUUCGGACCUCACGCUAUCAGAUGAGCCUAGGUCGGAUUAGCUAGUUGGUGGGGUAAAGGCCUACCAAGGCGACGAUCCGUAACUGGUCUGAGAGGAUGAUCAGUCACACUGGAACUGAGACACGGUCCAGACUCCUACGGGAGGCAGCAGUGGGGAAUAUUGGACAAUGGGCGAAAGCCUGAUCCAGCCAUGCCGCGUGUGUGAAGAAGGUCUUCGGAUUGUAAAGCACUUUAAGUUGGGAGGUAGGGCAGUAAGUUAAUACCUUGCUGUUUUGACGUUACCAACAGAAUAAGCACCGGCUAACUUCGUG
rnacentral:rRNA from 1 species